rnacentral:misc_RNA from 1 species
ACACAAAACAAGAUGGCGUCAGGAUACGAUGGUCAUGUUUCCAAACGCCAACGACGAGAUAACGAUGAGAACCCUCUGAAUCCAUCACCUUCACAAGUGGUACAUGUUCGAGGACUGGCUGAAAACAUACUGGAACAAGAUCUCAAAGAUUCAGUUCAGCACUUCGGACCCGUCAGUUUGAAAGUCGAGGAAGAUCAUCUCACAGUUUCUUAAUGAGCACAGGCAGUCUCAUCUCGACAAGAUGAGCUCCUUUCUUUUCACUGGCUCAGUGUACCUUAAUAAAGAAACAGACAGAAGAAAGAGAAAGAGGAGAAGAGUGGAUGUCUAUUAUUUAUGAUAUUAUUUGCUUUAUUCUUUUAGUUAUGUGGUUUUGAUGCCAAGAAAACACCAGGCUUUAGUGGAAUUUGAGGAUAUUUCUGGAGCCACGAGUUGUGUUAAUUAUGCAGAGGAAAAUCAGAUAUAUGUUGCUGGCCAGCCUGCAUACUUCAACUUCUCGACAAGCCAGAGAAUUCAGAGACCAGCAGGCGGGGAGGACCACAGGGGAGGGAAUCACAUCCUGUUGUUUACCGUUCUUAACCCGCAGUACCCUAUCACUGUGGACGUAAUGCACAAGAUUUGUACUGCCUAUGGACAAGUUCAGAGGAUUGUUAUCUUCAAGAAAAAUGGUGUACAGGCUAUGGUUGAAUUUGACACAGUUGAUACUGCUAAAAGAGCCAAGCAGAACUUGAAUGGGGCUGACAUAUACUCGGGUUGUUGCACCCUGAAAAUUGAUUUUGCCAAACCCACUAGAUUGAACGUUUUUCGCAACGACAAUGAAAGUUGGGAUUAUACUCAAUCUAGCCCAGAAGGUUUGUCAUCAAUUCGCCUGGAAUGUUGGAACGGAUUCUGUGUUCGUCAACUCGGAGUAGCAUUCUAAGUGUUUCCUCAACCUAAGAGAAAGACCCUGCCAAUCAGCGUAACGGACCGCUCUUAGCUGACCCCCGGUACACCAACGCUCCCAUUCCAUACGAUGGGCGGUCAGGUGCUCCCCCUGGUCCAACCCCGGGCUACGGUGGAGGCCCAGGGCCAAAUCAAGGCUACCCCCCGGCAGGUGCUCCCUCUGGGGGGUAUGGUGGAGGGGGAUAUGGCCCAAGUUAUGGUAGUGGCUAUGAAGGGGGUGAUGGAUAUGGGUCACCAAUGUCACCACGGCAACAAGGUUAUAGCAAUCGAGGAGACAGGUUUUCUGGAAAUCAAGGUCCCCCAGUGCAAGAUCGUGGAGGAUAUGGUCAUCCCAACAUGCCUGCCCAGGGGUACCAGGAGCAAGGACCCCCACCCCCAGGGGCCAUGUUCCAGGGCUCGGUCAUCAUGGUGUACGGUUUGAAUCUGGAUAAGAUCAGCUGCGACAAACUGUUCAAUCUGUUCUGUUUGUAUGGAAAUGUUGUGAGGGUAAAGUUUCUGAAAAGCAAGGAAGGUUCUGCCAUGGUACAGAUGGGGGAUGCGAUGGCAGUCGAUAGAUGCAUGCAAAAUCUCAACUACAUGACUUUAUUUGACAACAAAAUCACCCUGGGCCAUUCCAAGCAGGCCUUCUUGCAAGAUGUUCCAAAUCCUUACGAGUUACCUGAUGGAACUCCAUCAUUCAAGGAUUACAUGGGAAGUCGAAACAACAGAUAUGCUAAUCCAGAGGCAGCCAGCAAAAAUCACAUAUUACCACCUUCAAAAGUUCUGCAUUUCUUCAACACUCCCCCCAACAUUUCAGAGGAACAACUAGGAGAGGUCCUUGAAAAUGUUGGCGCAGCUAAACCUUUUAAGGUCAAAUUGUUUGCAUCCAAAAGUGACCGAAGUUCUUCUGGUUUGAUGCAGUUUGAAUCCAAAUCAGAAGCUUUAGAAGCCCUGGUGUUGGCCAAUCAUGCAUCCAUUCCAAAUCCAGCUGGGAAAAGCCCAUAUGUGAUGAAGCUGUGUUUUUCUGGUGGCCCCAUCAAGGAAUAAGAUUAACUGUUAAGAAUCUCAAUAAAAUCUGUGUCUUUGUGAAAUAUUACAUACAAAUUUUUAGCCCCCUGUUGAUUUUGUCUUGUGUUAUGUACAUAUGUUUGAGUAUGACGUUUUUCAGACAUAUUUUAGCAAAGCGCCUGUGUACUAUAUUAUGUCAUAUCAAGAUAUUGAUUUUGCUUUUUUACUCCAUGUAGAUUUAUGUCAAUAAAAUAUGAGUAGUUUAAUGAU